CGGCACAUCCCAAUUAAAAGCCAAGUCCAAUCUUUUGAUCGAAAUGUCCACUAGAGCGGAGCUUGUCCAUAUAAAUGUUGUGGAGCUCUGCCAUUUGGGCACGCCCAUUCUGCCAUGCCAAGGGCUCGCUUUGGUUGCUAACUUCUGCUCUCUCUCCGUCUCGCGGAACGGCAAGAAUGUCAUCAAACACACGCUUUUGCCUAAUUCGGCUCCUGACUGUCGUCCUCAGCAUAUUGUUGGUUAUUGUCAGCAGAAGCGUUGCUGCAAGAAGCUUAGGCCCACGGCCAUCUUGUGCUAAUCCGAACAACCGUUGUCCAGGAUCAUGCAGUCCGUUCUCAAAUUCUUGUCAUUAGCACUUUGAGAGCCCAGGAGCUCAUCCUGAUCUACAAAAUGCAUAGAAUUUGAGAAGAUUAUCUGGUUUCAUAUAUAUAUGUGCUCAUCGUAGUUCUACAUGUUUGAACGUAGACUUAAAUAAAUAAAGUAGGCUAUGGUUUCUUGUAACAGGACUUCACUAUGUAAGAAAAGUAAUUGGAGACGCGGACUAACAAGGAUAGGAGACGCGGUUUUUUUUUUAUCUCCAAAUUUACUUCUCUGAUGUGAUGUGAAGUCACAGGAGAAGCAGAUGAGCCGCAUCUCCUAUAAAGGAUAAGAUACGAGACGCAUGUGAACCACAUCUCCUCAUUGAGUUAACAAGUGUCUCUCAUACAUUCUAUUGGAGACGUGGUUAUCCGCAUCUCCUAUGUUGUUUACAGAAUGUCUCCAUGAAUGUAAACAGAGAUGUGGGAUGCUA